CCUACGGGAGGCAGCAGUGAGGAAUAUUGGUCAAUGGACGAGAGUCUGAACCAGCCAAGUAGCGUGAAGGAUGACUGCCCUAUGGGUUGUAAACUUCUUUUAUAAAGGAAUAAAACGAGGCACGUGUGCCUUUUUGCAUGUACUUUAUGAAUAAGGAUCGGCUAACUCCGUGCCAGCAGCCGCGGUAAUACGGAGGAUCCGAGCGUUAUCCGGAUUUAUUGGGUUUAAAGGGAGCGUAGAUGGGUUGUUAAGUCAGUUGUGAAAGUUUGCGGCUCAACCGUAAAAUUGCAAUUGAUACUGGCAGUCGUGAGUACAGUUGAGGGAGGCGGAAUGCGUGGUGUAGCGGUGAAAUGCUUAGAGAUCACGAAGAACCCCGAUUGCGAAGGCAGCUUACUAAACUGUGACUGACAUUGAGGCUCGAAAGUGUGGGUAUCAAACAGGAUUAGAUACCCGAGUAGUC
rnacentral:rRNA from 1 species